CAGUGAUCACUUUAACGGCCGCGGUACCCUGACCGUGCAAAGGUAGCAUAAUCAUUUGCCUUUUAAUUGGAGGCUAGUAUGAAUGGUCCGACGAGAGUAAAACUGUCUCAUAUAUAUUCAAUAUAAAUUAACCUAAAGGUGCAAAGGCCUUUAUCUACUAGAAAGACGAGAAGACCCUGUUGAGCUUUAAUCUAGCAUCUUUUCUAUAUUUACAAAUUUAUUUUGCUUGCUAAAGAUUUUAAUUGGGGCGAUUAAGGAACACCCAUCAGCUUCCUGAAAAAUUAAAUCGAUCCAGCAAUGCUGAUCAACAAAAUGAGUUACCACAGGGAUAACAGCAUAAUUCUUCUUGAGAGUCCAUAUCGAAAGGAGAGAUUGUGACCUCGAUGUUGGACUAGGGUAACCAGAAGGUGCAGCCGCUUUCUUGUUUGGUCUGUUCGACCAGUAAUUCCCU
rnacentral:rRNA from 1 species